GAAUCGCAGGAAGCCGGGGGUGCAGGGCCUUGUGUCCCCCCACACUCCGUGACACCUUGCAUGUCUGUGAUGUGCACAAAGACGUUUCUGGAUGCUCAAGAAAUAACUAUCCGAUGACUCAGAAGCCGGAGGAUCCUUGCAAGCCGUGAGCCCAACCGUACAGGGCUCAGAGGGAGAGAGAAGCCCUUGGACAUCCCCAUCAUCUGGCUUCUGGGAAUUACAGCGCAGAACGACCAGCCUCAGGACGACGCAAGACAGCCCGUUAGGGAAGAUGAAGCAAUUGCUCGUCCUCCACGUCUUGGGCCAGACCACUGGAC